rnacentral:sRNA from 1 species
CGGUGAAAUCAGGGAGUGCCAUCCCCGAUUUCACCUAACCACAACGUACUGUCAAGGAGUACUUAUCAUGGCUAA